rnacentral:lncRNA from 10 species
AAAUCCAACCUCAAAUUGGAAACUGGAAAUGCAGAGGAGAAAGGAGCUAAGCUGAUGGGCGAAGUCACGAAGUCCUUGUGAGGCUGUUUCCUUACCCUUUGAUGAGGUGUAGUCACAGCUUCAGAGGCUCCCCGCAAAGUUUUUGUCAUCAGUGAUGGAACACAAGAUGUAAGAGCUGAAGAGUUAUGAACACAAAUGUGAAACCUUGCCUACUGGAGCUGCCACUAGAAAGCCCGCCAACAUGGCAUUGGGACGAAUAUAAUCAAAGUCUCCCACCCCUAAACAGAGAAAAACAAAAUAUAGCAUAUGGCCAAAGUGAUUUAUCUUUAUACUUUUUUUAAUCUUUAAAAGAUAUUUAUUGCCCUAUAAUAUACCUACAGAAAAAUGCACUGACCCUCAGUGUACAUGAGAUUCUUUCAUAAAUUUCAUGUGUACAUGCGUACUUCAAGUGUACGUGAAAUGACCUCUGUUUAUAUUCCAUCACAAUGCCUGGACAAGACUUACUUAAUAUAAGUGAAAAAAUCACUUUCUUUGACAGUGAUUCAUUCAGAUACGUAUGUAGUAUCUCUACGAUGAAUGUGGUCAUAGUCUCAGUUCCUUUCCCAGCAGUUUUUUCUCUGGAGGGAGAAACACAUCAGCCCUGGUUUGAGGGUUGGCACAGAAUUCAUCAGUGGCCAGUGAUGGGGCACAGUUCCAGGCCCCGAGACUCUCAGGAGCUCAGGGCCCCCAAGCAUCACCAUGAACAGAUGCCACAGUGAGGCUCC